rnacentral:rRNA from 1 species
CAUUGAAAGGCCAGCCGCAGAAGGUGCAAGCCCUGUAGGCGAAAUCCCGAUUCACACGAGUGGUAUCCUGAGUACGUCGGAGCACGUGAAACUCUGACGGAAUCGGCCGGGACCAUCCGGUAAGGCUAAAUACUCCUAUAUGACCGAUAGUGAACCAGUACCAUGAGGGAAAGAUGAAAAGAACCGCGGGAGCGGAGUGAAAUAGAUCCUGAAACCGUAUGCUUACAAAAAGUCAGAGCACAUUAAGGUGUGAUGGCGUGCCUUUUGUAGAAUGAACCGGCGAGUUAUCUUUGCAUGCGAGGUUAAGCAGACAAUGCGGAGCCGUAGCGAAAGCGAAUCUUAAUAGGGUGACAAGUAUGUAGAGAUAGACCCGAAGCCGUAGUGAUCUAGUCAUGAGCAGGUUGAAGGCUGGGUGAAUCCAGCUGGAGGACCGAACCGACCCCCGUUGAAAAGUUGGCGGAUGACUUGUGAUUAGCGGAGAAAUUCCAAUCGAACACGGCGAUAGCUGGUUCUCCCCGAAAUAGCUUUAGGGCUAGCGUUGAACGGAUCUACCCGGAGGUAGAGCACUGAAAUCAUGCGGGCGGCAUCUCGCCGUACCAAAUGAUAUCAAACUCCGAAUGCCGGGCAAGAAUAUUCAGCAGUCAGACUGUGGGUGAUAAGGUCCAUGGUCAAAAGGGAAACAGCCCAGAUCAUCAGAUAAGGUCCCAAAAUUUACGCUAAGUGGAAAAGGAUGUGGAGACGCGCAAACAGCUAGGAGGUUGGCUCAGAAGCAGCCAUCCUUCAAAGAGUGCGUAACAGCUCACUAGUCGAGUAUCUCUGCGCCGAAAAUUAACCGGGGCUAAGCGUAAUACCGAAUCUAUGGAUUUAUACUUAGGUAUAAGUGGUAGGGGAGCGUUCCAUACAGCAUUGAAGGUAUACCGUAAGGAGUGCUGGAGCGUAUGGAAGUGAGAAUGCCGGUGUGAGUAGCGAGAUGUGGGUGAGAAUCCCACACACCGAACAACCAAGGUUUCCAGGGGAAGGUUCGUCCGCCCUGGGUAAGUCGGGACCUAAGGCCAGGCCGAAAGGCGUAGUCGAUGGACAGCAGGUUGAUAUUCCUGCACCCGCGAGUAAAGUGAUGGAGUGACAGAUAGGGUUAACCCAAGUCCUUAAUGGAUUGGGCAAGGCAAGCAGGAGAGUGGCGUAGGCAAAUCCGCGCCGGAUACUCAAAGGCUUGACUCAAGCGAACGCGCGAGCAAGUAGUGAAGAGGGUGAUACCAGGUCUCAAGAAAAGCUUCUAGCGAUAAUUUACUAGCGGCCCGUACCAAAACCGACACAGGUGGUUGAGGCGAGUAGCCUAAGGUGAGCGAGAGAACUGUUGCCAAGGAACUCGGCAAAUUGACCCCGUACGUUAGCAAUAAGGGGUGCUCGAAAGAGCCGCAGUGAAUAGGCCCUAGCAACUGUUUAACUAAAACAUAGCUCUCUGCGAAGUCGCAAGACGAAGUAUAGGGGGUGACACCUGCCCGGUGCUGGAAGGUCAAGGGGAUUUGUCAGACGCAAGUCGAAGCAUUGAACCGAAGCCCCAGUGAACGGCGGCCGUAACUAUAACGGUCCUAAGGUAGCGAAAUUCCUUGUCAGGUAAGUUCUGACCCGCACGAAAGGUGUAAUGAUUUGGGCACUGUCUCGGCAGCAGACUCGGUGAAAUCUUAGUACCUGUGAAGAUGCAGGUUACCCGCAACUAGACGGAAAGACCCCAUGGAGCUUUACUGUAGUCUGCUAUUGAGUUUCGGUUAAGUAUGCACAGGAUAGGUGGGAGACGAUGAGACUGGUCUUUUGGGAUCAGAGGAGUCACUGUUGGGAUACCACUCUUACUUAAUUGAAAUUCUAACUCUAAGCCGUGAUCCGGCUAGAGGACCGUGGCAGAUGGGCAGUUUGACUGGGGCGGUCGCCUCCCAAAGAGUAACGGAGGCGCACAAAGGUACUCUCAGAAUGGUUGGAAAUCAUUCAACGAGCGCAAACGCAGAAGAGUGCUUGACUGCGAGACAAACAAGUCGAGCAGGGACGAAAGUCGGUGUUAGUGAUCCGGCGGUGCAGAAUGGAAUGGCCGUCGCUUAACGGAUAAAAGCUACCCUGGGGAUAACAGGCUGAUCUCGCCCAAGAGUUCACAUCGACGGCGAGGUUUGGCACCUCGAUGUCGGCUCAUCGCAUCCUGGAGGUGAAUUCGCUUCCAAGGGUUGGGCUGUCCGCCCAUUAAAGCGGUACGCGAGCUGGGUUCAGAACGUCGUGAGACAGUUCGGUC